GAAAAAGCGUUGACGAGAAAGAGUAAAUUUAAUUUUAGUUUUAAAGAGAGCCCUUGUUUGGUGUAAAAGGGAAAACGAAUUAAAUAGAAUACAUCUCAGAGCAGCACUCCCAAAAGAUAACAACCAGUAGGAAGAUGUCGUAAGUGCACACGUUACAGUGCUAGAGUAUAACUAAGUUUUUAGAGUACUUGAUGAGUUUAUUAUGGUGACGUAAUAAAGAAUUAAGGUGGUAUCGCGUGAUUAUAUCCCGUCCUUUAU
rnacentral:ncRNA from 1 species